GCUCUGGCUGUGCUGUGGAGGGGGGGCGGCCUUGGCACUUUUUUUUUCUCUCUUUUCAUUUUCCUUCUCGACUCCCCACUCUUCCCCUUCCUUUUUUCUUCUUUCCUCCCUCCUGUUUCCUCUUUCCUCUCUUCCUUUCCAGUCUUUCUUGUAAAUCCCCUUCCCUUUCCUCUUUCUUCCUUUCCUUUUUUCUUCCCCUCUUUCCUUCUCCUCCUAAUUUUUCUCCAUAGCAUUAAUAACUAAUUACUUCCUUAAAAUAAUCUGCACCAGGGUUUGGCAUCCAACACGCACCAGGUACAGGGGACAGGCUGACAAAGAGUGGAGAGACUGUCCUCACAGAGCUGAGCGUCCAGAGGGCAACGCUGAUGAUUAAAUAAGUAAUUGUUAGAAGGCAAACGUCUAAAGACAACCUCUCCUCUUUUUCACCCGAUUUCUGGGCCAACGGAGAAAUAAGACGAAAGGUAAAGGCAGAUGGAAAUCAAACGGCACUGAAAUCCACGAGGAAGCUGCCCUGGAGAACGCGGCUCUGCUCCUCAGGCAUGCGGGCUGCUUGACGCUGAAUCUCAGAGCUUCCCCAGUGUGGCCACCGACCAAAGGCAGCCUGGGCCAGGGUGAAGGCGUCCCAGAAAAAUCCACAGUGAGAGGAGCAGCGGGCAUGGGAAAUCAGUGUAAACGCAGCACAAGUGAACGAGGAGCAGUGAGAGAGGCCAGGAGCCCAAGGCUGGUGGAAGCACCUCUCAGGAGGAGGAGAACACCAGGAGUGGGGACGGAGUUCCUCCCCUGCCCUCUGCUCUGCACCACCACUCACAGGGGGCUGCUGGAUGCAGAAUUAUCACUGCUGGUCUCUGGACACGUUUCUCCACCAGUUUGUCUCCAUCCCCCCGACCACGGAACACAUCUGUUGCACAGAGUGAGGCCCAUUCCAUCAAUGCAGUUGCCUGCAGAGCAAUGAAGUCAUCCCCAUCUACUGCCUGAAACCAGAAAUGAGGAUAACCGGCCAGUAUUAAAUAUUAAAGUUUUUCACAUUUUUGCUGUUCUCUUCCAGAGAACACAGAGAACACUGACAUAUUUUUCAGAGCUCAGGUGGAAAGCUAAUGGACUGGAGAAGCUUUCAACUUAACUGGAGCGACACAUAAAGAGAAAACUUAAUUACGGUUAGGAUUCAGUGGGUUAACUGGAUAAACAAGUAGCCUGUGUGUUUCAAAGCAUCUAAGACACUAUUGAUUUUAAGAUGCACCAUUAUUUUAUGUCCCUCUGAGGAAAAAAGCACUGCCAAUUAAAC